GACGAACGCUGGCGGCGUGCUUAACACAUGCAAGUCGAACGGAAAGGCCCUGCUUUUGUGGGGUGCUCGAGUGGCGAACGGGUGAGUAACACGUGAGUAACCUGCCCUUGACUUUGGGAUAACUUCAGGAAACUGGGGCUAAUACCGGAUAGGAGCUCCUGCUGCAUGGUGGGGGGUGAAAGUUUCGGCGGUUGGGGAUGGACUCGCGGCUUAUCAGCUUGUUGGUGGGGUAGUGGCUUACCAAGGCUUUGACGGGUAGCCGGCCUGAGAGGGUGACCGGCCACAUUGGGACUGAGAUACGGCCCAGACUCCUACGGGAGGCAGCAGUGGGGAAUAUUGCACAAUGGGCGGAAGCCUGAUGCAGCAACGCCGCGUGCGGGAUGACGGCCUUCGGGUUGUAAACCGCUUUCGCCUGUGACGAAGCGUGAGUGACGGUAAUGGGUAAAGAAGCACCGGCUAACUACGUG
rnacentral:rRNA from 1 species